CUGAUCCAGCCAUGCCGCGUGUGUGAAGAAGGCCUUCGGGUUGUAAAGCACUUUCAGCGAGGAGGAAGGGUGGUGUGUUAAUAGCACAUCAUUUUGACGUUACUCGCAGAAGAAGCACCGGCUAACUCUGUGCCAGCAGCCGCGGUAAUACAGAGGGUGCAAGCGUUAAUCGGAAUUACUGGGCGUAAAGCGCACGUAGGCGGUUAGUUAAGUUGGAUGUGAAAGCCCCGGGCUCAACCUGGGAAUUGCAUUCAAAACUGGCCAACUAGAAUACGGGAGAGGGGGGUAGAAUUCCAAGUGUAGCGGUGAAAUGCGUAGAGAUUUGGAGGAAUACCAGUGGCGAAGGCGGCCCCCUGGCCCGAACUGACACUCAGGAGCGAAAGCGUGGGGAGCAAACAGGAUUAGAUACCCUGGUAGUCCACGCCGUAAACGAUGUCUACUAGCUGUUCGUGGUCUUGUACUGUGAGUAGCGCAGCUAACGCACUAAGUAGACCGCCUGGGGAGUACGGUCGCAAGAUUAAAACUCAAAUG
rnacentral:rRNA from 1 species